AAUAAGUGCAGCCAUAAGUUUUCGCGUCCAACUUUAAUCGUUUGUCUUAUUUGAAUUUUUUUUAUAAUUAGCAUUUUUGUUGUUAUAAAAUGAUAAAACAUAAAUAAUACUUUACUCGUGACUUAUGUUUUUAAUUUUUUUAAAAUUUUUUUUAAAUAAGACGAACGGUCAAAAUUAGAUGCGGAAAAUCAUGGCUACACUUAUU
rfam:Oryza glumipatula chromosome 3, whole genome shotgun sequence.